AUGGUUCCUCAUAGCCCUGAGGCUAUAUAUUUUAAGUUCUGACAUAUAAUUAAACUGGAAGAUGGAACGCCAUAAAAGGAAAGGCAAGUAGCCAGUUUUAAGUAGGAAUGCCAUAAAGAUAGCUAAAUACAUGUCAAAAUCAAAAUCAAUAGCAACAACCUAGCAGUUUCCACAGGCAGAAAAGAACGUGUUAUAUAAUUUAUGCACCUAAGUGUAAGAGAUACAGUGAAUCUCACUUGCACCAAUAUUUUAAUACUACAACUCCAACUUUGCAAGUAAUUCCUCUUCUAGCUGCAAAAGUCCACUUGCCGAUGUCAAUCCAAUCCUAUAUUUUUAAAGCUUUGGCUCAGCACAACCGAUGCUUUUUGCUCAAAUUGGUACUUUGAAUUAUUUCACUCCCAAGUCAUUGGGAACGGGGGAUGCAGCAGGGUUCAUAAGUCCACCCUUAUUCAGGAUUGCACUCAGGUCCAAGAAAUAUGUACAGGACGGAACUGACACUUCCCUGCCCCUGUUCAGAGGCAAGGCUGGACAAUACAGCAAGGCUUCAGAGUUACUGACUGAACUGAAUGAAGCUCGGUUCAACUCUAAAUACAAUCCUUAUCACUGCCAUCUCUAGGCAAAUAAUAGUCAUAUGACUAAGCUGCAUCAUAAAGAGAUAAUAAUAGGCUCUGAGUUUCUACUACACGAGGCCACUUUUUCUUCAACAGCCCAAAGCAGAAUGAUUAAGUAUCGAAUGUAAUGAAUAAUAAUCCUAAAUUGUAAAGCAACUUUCCCCAACUUGAUGCCUCCAGCAACCAGCUACCCAUCCCAUCUAUGAGGCCAUCUAUGAAUAAUGGAAUACUUGCAUAGACCAAUUCAACAGGCAAAAUUUGGGGGAGAAGGCUGCCCUUCAGGAUACAGUUGCCUCUGGUGGUAGAAACCCUUCUUUUCUAUUUGUUGGAUGUUGGAGUACUUUCAGUGGUUUAAAUCCUGGUGAAGCUUGAAUAAUAGAGCAGAUUUCUGGUGGGCUCCGUAAAUACUGAAUGAAAUAGAAGAACAUUAUUCAUACAACAUGGACUACUUUUCAGAACAUUAAAUAAAUGGAUUCCUCUAUGAUUGGCAUGGAAACAGGUGUUUAAUAGCGUGAGAGGAAGUGUUUGGCCACAUGAUAUUCUGUACCGUGUCCUUUCAGCACAUUAUUUUAAACAAGUCACCAGUAUUCAAGACAACACCCCAAUAACAUUAGGAGGACAGGCCUUAAAAUUUGUGGAAAAAUUCAACUACUCUAUCUUGGUAGCAUCAUGGAUACAGAUGGAAGAACAGAGGCAGAUGUGAAAUGCCAAACAGGCAAAACAGCUGCUUUCUUCCAACAAAUGUGCUCAGUCUGGACCACAUCUGCCAUAAACAGAGCAACCAAGAUCAGAUUAUUUAAUGUCAUUGUCAUACCAAAUGCCAUCUAUGCUGGUGAAAUCGGAAAUCUACAAGAAAAAUUGUUCAUAAGAUCAAUAUCUUCCAACAACAUUGCCUCAAUGUUGUAUAUUCAUAUCUCGUAUAAGGACCAUGUCACAAACAAGGAAAUUCCACAAAGAAGUAAUUCCCAAAGAUCCUCUUGAGAUAGCAAGAGAACAAAGAAUGGGCUUUGCUGAACACAUGCUCUAUGAGUAAGCAACAUUCAGUAAAAAUCACAACCAAUUGGAUACCAAAGGAUGGCUGCAGAUCAAGAACUGUGGAGUAUGCUUGUAGCCCAAUGUGCUUAGAUGUGGAAAAAAAUUAAGCAGAAAGUACUGUACAAGUAGUCCUCAACUUACAACAAUUUGAAGUUACAAUGGCACCAAGA